rnacentral:rRNA from 1 species
UACGAAGGGGGCUAGCGUUGCUCGGAAUCACUGGGCGUAAAGCGCACGUAGGCGGAUUGCUAAGUCAGGGGCGAAAUCCUGGAGCUCAACUCCAGAACUGCCUUUGAUACUGGCGACCUUGAGUCCGGGAGAGGUGAGUGGAACUGCGAGUGUAGAGGUGAAAUUCGUAGAUAUUCACAAGAACACCAGUGGCGAAGGCGGCUCACUGGCCCGGUACUGACGCUGAGGUGCGAAAGCGUGGGGAGCAAACAGG